rnacentral:rRNA from 1 species
GACGAACGCUGGCGGCGUGCCUAAUACAUGCAAGUCGAGCGAAUCAGCGGAUGGGUGAGUAACGCGUGGGUAACCUGCCCUUAAGUCUGGGAUACCAUUUGGAAACAGAUGCCAAUACCGGAUAAUAAGGGAUGGACCUGCGAUGCAUUAGCUAGUUGGUAAGGUAACGGCUUACAAAGGCGAUGAUGCAUAGCCGAGUUGAGAGACUGAUCGGCCACAUUGGGACUGAGACACGGCCCAAACUCCUACGGGAGGCAGCAGUAGGGAAUCUUCCACAAUGGACGAAAGUCUGAUGGAGCAACGCCGCGUGAGUGAAGAAGGUGUUCGGAUCGUAAAGUUCUGUUGUUGGGGAAGCGGUAAUCAACCAGAAAGUCACGGCUAACUACGUGCCAGCAGCCGCGGUAAUAC